AAUGGGCCAAUGACCGACAAAAACACAAUACCCAGUUUGGACUGACACUAUAGCACCUUCUAUAACCAACCAGGGAGCCAAGAUGAGAGUCGGAGUGCCCAUAUUCCUCUUUUUGGCUGCAGCAGGAUUCCACACUGCUCUGACUGCAUCCUUGGAAUCGGCAGAAAAAGAAGACACAUUUGGUGAGGAAGUGGGGCUGGAGCAGCUAAGCGAACUGCAAAAGAGAGAUCAGGAGGAGUUUGAAGCAGCUCAAAUGAGUGAGGCUGUUCAAGAUGAAAAUACUGAGGAGGAGAAUGACACUCAGGAAGAGGACAUGACAGACAGAGACGGAAACGUUGAGGCAGACCAACAUGAUUCAUUCAGGUACAUGUAUAAGCCUAAGUUUCCUGUUCUCCAACAGAGUCUGAGUCUGAUGAAGAUGUAGAUGGUAUGAGGCAAAAGCGAGAACACCUUGAAGCCAAUGUUGAAGAAGCAGAUGAGACUACAAAUCUAGCUGAGGUAGAGUGAGCCUGCCGGAGGCAUCAUGUGAGGAGGCAGCACUUGCAGACCUACCCCCAUCUUCUAUCACAGAACCCGAAGAACAUUGUGCAGCGAAAAAGUUAACCGUCAAUAAAGAGAAAUAUCUCUCCCCAUUCUA